rnacentral:rRNA from 2 species
UACGGAGGGAGCUAGCGUUGUUCGGAAUUACUGGGCGUAAAGCGUACGUAGGCGGUUAUUCAAGUCAGAGGUGAAAGCCCGGGGCUCAACCCCGGAACUGCCUUUGAAACUAGAUAGCUAGAAUCUUGGAGAGGUCAGUGGAAUUCCGAGUGUAGAGGUGAAAUUCGUAGAUAUUCGGAAGAACACCAGUGGCGAAGGCGACUGACUGGACAAGUAUUGACGCUGAGGUACGAAAGCGUGGGGAGCAAACAGG